rnacentral:rRNA from 1 species
UACGGAGGAUGCAAGCGUUAUCCGGAAUGAUUGGGCGUAAAGCGUCCGCAGGUGGCAAUGUAAGUCUGCUGUUAAAGAGUCUAGCUCAACUAGAUAAGAGCAGUGGAAACUACAAGGCUAGAGUACGUUCGGGGCAGAGGGAAUUCCUGGUGUAGCGGUGAAAUGCGUAGAGAUCAGGAAGAACACCAGUGGCGAAGGCGCUCUGCUGGGCCGGAACUGACACUGAGGGGCGAAAGCUAGGGGAGCGAAUGGG